UACGAAGGGUGCGAGCGUUAAUCGGAAUUACUGGGCGUAAAGCGCGCGUAGGCGGUUCGGUAAGUCGGAUGUGAAAGCCCAGGGCUUAACCUUGGAAUUGCAUUCGAUACUGCCGGACUAGAGUAUUGGAGAGGAAAGUGGAAUUUCGGGUGUAGCGGUGAAAUGCGUAGAUAUCCGAAGGAACACCAGUGGCGAAGGCGACUUUCUGGCCAAAUACUGACGCUGAGGUGCGAAAGCGUGGGGAGCAAACAGG
rnacentral:misc_RNA from 1 species